rnacentral:lncRNA from 1 species
GGGAGGCGAGGCGGGGCGGGGCUGGGCCGGCUGUCCGCACAAAGAGAGCCAGCGAGCUAGCCCGCGGACCAGGUACCCCGGGCCGCUGGGGGCCGGGCGGGGCGGGGCGAGGCAGGGAACACUUACCCAGCAGUAGCACGUUCUUCCCCGCAGGGAGCUUGGAGCGCGAGCGGGUGGAGACCUCGCUGAGGAUGCAGGACCUAACGGGAAGCAAGGCGUACGGUGAGGCCGGAGGCCGGAGCCGCAGCGCGGGAGGGACGGACCCGGCCUCGGCGCGCCGGGGAUGGGGCUGCCGGGAACGCAGUGGCCGGGCCCGGCGCCGAGCUCCAGCGGGCACGGGAUCCCGAGGCGUCCGCGCAAGGCCGGGGGAGCCAGCGGGGGCUGAGGGAGAGGUGGAGUCGUUACCAAAGGUUCUGCCCGUCCUCGUCGUCGCCUGCCGCGGCGCCACCGUUGCCCGACGCUAUCUCGUUGCCCAAGGGGCCGCCAGUGUAAGUCGAGGAUAAUCCCGGCGGAGAAGAACCGAAGGAGCCGACUCGCCCCACGGCCGCCAUCUUGGUCGGGAAUCACACCACUCCCGGCAAGACUAAAUGUGCGAGGCGGCUGAGGCGGUGGCGGUGGAGGCGGCGGGAACCCGGAUAUGGGGCGUUCAGCGCACGGGAGCGGGGCGGGGCCUGCGGGGGCGGGGCCCCGGGCCGGGCCAGGACUGAUGGAGCGAGCGAGAACGGACUGCGCGUGCGUGGCUGCCUGGCCGGCGCUGAGGGGCUGAGCGUACGCGGGCGGCGGGGUGGGCCGCUAUGCUGCAACUGAAGCCCAGUGAUCUGACAGUAUGGAAGUGCUUUCCUUCCGCUCAUCCGCGGCCCUGGGCUGCGGCAGGGGGGUUGGGUGUGUCAGGUGAAAAGUGCUCCCUCCCACCCUUCAGACAGGUCCCCAAACCCUGCGGCCUGCGCGGAAUUCCUGCAUUGUCAUUGCCGGCCCACCCACUGUUCAGGCUGAGAGCGGUCCCCCGCCCAAACCGGCGCUUCGCCGGCGCCAAGAUAGAAAUGGGUCGCCCGGCUGGUAAAGAGGCUGCCCUGCAACCCUGGGCUGGAGUAUUGCUGUGGUCCUGGAUUUCUGGACUUUAUUUGCGUUCUCAAGUGGCGAAGUGUUCCUCAACCUGGACCCACAUCAGAAGCAGGUUCUCCGAGCCCCUAAGCAGCGGCGUGACAAAGUAAUUGUUUACCCUGGAAAUAGACUGUUAUUUUUUAAAAAUUAUUGUCAGGGCUUGCUUUAAUGUUCUUAAUGUUUUUGUAUGAGAUCCUCCAUGUGAGAUUUGAAAAGAUCCACUAUGCGGGUCAUCUAACCGGUCACUAGACAUUGAUUCCACACUUACUACGUCGAGCACAGUUGACACUGGGAAUACAUGGAUGGACUUAUACUAGCCCUAAAAUAACUCCUUUUCUAUUAGAACUUUACUAGGUAAAGGUAUUUGAAUGUCUGAACUCCAUGUUUAGAAGGAGUCAUUGGUUUUAAGGCUCUGUCCUAGUACACCUGUAAGAGCAUUUGCUUAAAAUUGCCUGGCCUUUGUAUGUUAUCUCUGUCACUUCAUAUUUGAAAAUCACUUGCUAGAAUAUGGCCUGAUCAAUGCUGUUAUGCUAGUGAGAAAAUCCACAACUAAAGACUAUUUGCUAUAUAUUAGCAUUACGGUUAGAAGUCUGGAAGCCUUUGGAGGCUGGCAAAUCUGAGUUCAGGUCUAGCUCUUCGAGUUUACUGGCUGUGUAACCUUAGGCAAUUUACUUAACCUCCGUGAGUCUCAGUUUCCUUAUCUGUCAAAUGAGGAUAAAAGAACUUAGAGUUGUUAUUGAGAUUAAACGGGAUGAUUCAUGUAAAAUGGCUUAGAAUAACGACUGGCAAAUCUUAAGCGCUUACCACAUGUUAAUUGUUAUCAAUGACUUUCUUUACCUUUCACACCAUUAAUAUCUGACCAACCUCUAGAAGUGAUGGGCCUAAAGAACUCUUGGAGCUAAAAUUCUUUGUCACCUGUAAUGCCAGCGCUUUGGGAGGCCAAGGCAGGCAGAUUGCUUAAGCCCAGGAGUUCUUGACCAGCCUGGGCAACAUGGCGAAACCCCGGCUCUACAAAAAAUUAGCCAAGCGUGGUGGUGUGUGCCUAUAGUCCCAGCUAUUUAGGAGGCUGAGGUGGGAGGAUCACCUGAGUCCAGGAGGUCGAGGCUGCAGUGAACUGUGAUCAUGCCACUGCAAUCCAGCCUGGAUGACAGAGCAAGACCCUGUCACUAAAUAAAUAAAUAAAUAAAUAAAAUAAAACUUUUGAUUUUGUUGUUUAUAUACUUAAGAAAGGAACCAGAACCCUCCCCAGUAGUCCUACACUUUCUGUGGCACAAAGCAGGAUGGAGACCCCCAGGAGAAGCUGAGUCUUUAUGUUACUGUUCUAAAGGAGAGCUGUAUACUGCUCUUGGCCCCUCUGAAAGCCAUUUUACUCUGUACUUUAUUCUUUCAGUCAUCUUCCUCAGAGCAUUUUCCCCUCAAUUUUGUUGUCAGUUCCAUAUCAUAUUUGCUUAGUCUGAGAAGUGUUUACUUUUAUAAUAGUGUCAGGCUUCAACACCUCAUGACUUCCAGAUGCUCAACUACCCACC